UACAGAGGAGCCAAGCGUUGUCCGGAUUGACUGGGCGUAAAGCGCACGCAGGCGGUUGCGCGCGGGGGGGGGGAAAUCUGGCCGCUUAACGGCCAGGCGCCAUCCCAUACGGCGCGACUGGAGUGAUGCAGAGGUCGAUGGAAUUGCCGGUGUAGUGGUGAAAUGCGUAGAGAUCGGCAGGAACACCCAGGGGGAAACCAGUCGACUGGGCAUCUACUGACGCUGAGGUGCGAGAGCGUGGGGAGCGAACCGG
rnacentral:rRNA from 1 species